GGCCCCGUAGCUCAGCUGGAUAGAGCAACUGCCUUCUAAGCCGUAGGUCGCAGGUUCGAAUCCUGCCGGGGUCGCCA
rnacentral:tRNA from 1 species